rnacentral:other from 1 species
GAGUCCCUACCAAGUUGGUGAUGGGUGAGUAUAUAUUGAGCCAACACUAAAUAAAAGGAAAUUCUUAUUUAGAGGUGGAUUGCAAGCUAUCACUUUAGUUAGAUAGAAGCAGUAAAACCUUUAAAGGAAUUAACCGUAUCUUUUAUAUAGGGUUCAAUUAAGUCAGCCACACGGCUUGGCGGGGACUAA